UACGUAGGUGGCAAGCGUUGUCCGGAUUUACUGGGCGUAAAGGGAGCGUAGGCGGACUUUUAAGUGGGAUGUGAAAUACCCGGGCUUAACCUGGGUGCUGCAAUCCAAACUGGAAGUCUAGAGUGCAGGAGGGGAAAGUGGAAUUCCUAGUGUAGCGGUGAAAUGCGUAGAUAUUAGGAAGAACACCAGUGGCGAAGGCGACUUUCUGGACUGUAACUGACGCUGAGGCUCGAAAGCGUGGGGAGCGAACAGG
rnacentral:rRNA from 1 species